AGGUUGGGGGGGAGAGAGAGACGAGACCGAAUUAAGGUGAAAAGUUCAGAAUGCUGGUUGAAUUAUUACUUCUUCAGACACCACGCCCGCUCCACCUUCUCUCCAGUCACUAGGGUUCUACUGACUCCGAGUCUAUGCAGCCCAGGGUGUGUUUGUGUCUUGCCGUCGGGCGCGUGUUACCGUCGGGUGUGUGUUACGUGUGGAGCAGCAGCGGGAAGCUUGACCGACGUGAUGGAGGGGUUUCGUGCGGCUGAGUGACGUGUCGCUGUUGUGUGUAAGCCAGCGGACCACAGGGGAGCAUGAUUGUACUGUUGUCUUUGUGGCAUCCUCAGUAUAGAAUAGGUCUUAGAAUCGGCGAAAACAAUGAUUGGGCAGGAUUUCUUUAACGUAACGAGGCUGCUUCAAGUUAUGUGCAUUAGAGGAGUUGACGAUCGAAAUGCCCGACUGUGCAGCGAUCCCCGAGCCUCCUGCAUCUUCAGGGAGGGACUCUUCCUUGCACGGCGCCUUCACUGAUCUCCCCCCACCCACCGUCCCAACACCAACGCCGUUACUGCCACUCGGGGGAGGGACUCUGCAUGGCACCGUGAAACACCGUUACUGCCACUCGGGGGAGGGACUCUGCAUGGCACCUUUUAACACCGUUACUGCCACUCGGGGGAGGAACUCUGCAUGGCACCUUGACCCUGCCCGGCCAACACCUACUCCUACUCCUGCUGUUGUUGGUGGCCAGGGAGUGAGUUAGUUGUGGAUUGGUGUGGCAGUCUUCCGUCAUUGUGGUGUUGAUGCAUGUGGGUGGACACGGACAGCUGUGGUGGUGUGGUGCCAUUACUCCAUUGUAAUAAAUUGUCUUCAUUGUCGUAGUGUUACUGUACUUAGAGCUGUUGUCACUACUGAAUAAUAAAUUGUGGAAUUUG